UGGGGAAUCUUGCACAAUGGGCGAAAGCCUGAUGCAGCGACGCCGCGUUCGGGAUGAAGGCCUUCGGGUUGUAAACCGCCUUCAGCAGGGACGAGGCCGCAAGGUGACGGUACCUGCAGAAGAAGCCCCGGCUAACUACGUGCCAGCAGCCGCGGUAAUACGUAGGGGGCAAGCGUUAUCCGGAUUCAUUGGGCGUAAAGCGCGCGUAGGCGGUUGGUUAGGUCAGGAGUUAAAUCUGGGGGCUCAACCCCUAUCCGCUCCUGAUACCGGCAGGCUUGAGUCUGGUAGGGGAAGGCGAAAUUCCAAGUGUAGCGGUGAAAUGCGAAGAUAUUGGGAAGAACACCGGUGGCGAAGGCGGCCUUCUGGGCCACGACUGACGCUGAGGCGCGAAAGCUAGGGGAGCGAACAGG
rnacentral:rRNA from 1 species